rnacentral:rRNA from 1 species
CAGCAGCCGCGGGAAAACGUAGGGUGCAAGCGUUAAUCGGAAUUACUGGGCGUAAAGCGUGCGCAGGCGGUCCGUUAAGACAGAUGUGAAAUCCCCGGGCUUAACCUGGGAACUGCAUUUGUGACUGGCGGGCUAGAGUAUGGCAGAGGGGGGUAGAAUUCCACGUGUAGCAGUGAAAUGCGUAGAGAUGUGGAGGAAUACCGAUGGCGAAGGCAGCCCCCUGGGCCAAUACUGACGCUCAUGCACGAAAGCGUGGGGAGCAAACAGGAUUAGAUACCCGGGUAGUCCCUGUCUCUUAUAC